GUCAUCGGCGGCGUGCGGUGCACCCGCUCACAGAGAGCGAGAAAGGACCCUGACGACCUGCUGUGACGCCGUGACGUUGACGUUGUAAGUCUGCCUCCUGUCUACCCUAACGACAUUGAGCACGUCCUGUGAGCAAUGCCGCUGCUGCUGCUGCAGGUGGGGGUGGCGCGAUAAAGGGAUUCCUGAGCAGAGCGGCGCGAUGCGCCGUGCCACGCCCCGCACGUCUCCUCUCUAAAUCAUAAAGUGGAGACUGCGCGUAAACAUCAACCACUUCGGAGAAGAAAGGAGCGGUGGUGGUGACAGACAAGAUGCACAGGCCCUCCUUCCACCUCGUUGUCACGGUAGCACGUGCAUCGCCUUGAACACCAGCGUCUACGAGUGUGUAUGCGUUUCCAGUAAGGUGCUCGUGUGCGUAUCCUCGUCGACGCUGUCCUCCGCUCGCUCUCUCUCUCUACUUGGUCCCUCUCCCUCUCGUUAUAGUUGUUUCUGUGAAGGCGCGAUGCGUAUUCUUUUUUCGUUCUGGUCUCUUAACAGUUUUCAUGUUGGUUGCACAUGUCGCUGUGGGCGUGUGUUGUUAUGUGUCGUUCUCUCCCUUUCAGUUGUCUGUCCGUCUCCCGGUAGGUGCUUGUCUGCUGUAUGCUUGAGACACACACACACACACACACACAGACAGGGUUCGCCGAGUCCGCCGUCAUGUAUCUCAAGCACGCAUGCGCUUCGGCCAUCGAUCUGUCUUGUGCCAUGAGUGUGUGUGUGUGUGUGCCGGGGAGGGGGAGGUCGAUGGGUAUGUCGGUGGGUGGGUGACAAGGAAAGCGAAGGUGCUGCCAAGGAUGAACAGCCACACACCGGACGCACCCCCUUUCCCUUCAUCCAUGCACCCCCUCCCCUUCCCCCAAUCAUGAUGUUAUCGUGCGGCACGUCGUCUUGUUGCGAAAGCGGGCAACAGCCAAAGGCAACGCCUGCUGCUGCUGCUGCUUCCACGAAAGACCCCCCCUCCACCACCCUAUCGUGACCUACACGCUUCCACAAAUUUCACUUGUUUGAGUGCUCUUUCUAUCUCUAUCGAUGUAUGGGUCGCUGCCGCGGUGCCGUGCGCAUGUUUUCUCGAACUCCCGUGCGCACAGACAGGCACAGAGGCCACUACAUACAGGAAAAAGCGUGCGAAACGGAGGACCGGCGCGGCUCCUCUGCUCUCACUCCUCUCGUUUUCGCCGCCCUCCAGCCCUCGGCUGCGUGUGUGUACGUGCUGGGACUUUUUCUUUCUGUGGACAGUGCUGUCUCCUAGAGCGUCGCGACACGCAAUGCACAUGGAUACGACCACUUCGCCUACUCGUGCAUGUACGGCGCUCAUCUCGCUGAGCGCGCGCAGCGAGUACCACCUCGCUCAUGCGCGCUCGCCUCACGAAUUCACUUUCUUCCAUGUGAGGGGAGGGGUGGGGGCGCACGCAUGUCUUACCGUCUUCUUGUUGAACUGGCAAAAAAGCAAAU
rnacentral:misc_RNA from 1 species